rnacentral:rRNA from 1 species
GGACAUUACCGAGUUUACAACUCCCAAACCCAAUGUGAACCAUACCAAACUGUUGCCUCGGCGGGGUCACGCCCCGGGUGCGUCGCAGCCCCGGAACCAGGCGCCCGCCGGAGGGACCAACCAAACUCUUUCUGUAGUCCCCUCGCGGACGUUAUUUCUUACAGCUCUGAGCAAAAAUUCAAAAUGAAUCAAAACUUUCAACAACGGAUCUCUUGGUUCUGGCAUCGAUGAAGAACGCAGCGAAAUGCGAUAAGUAAUGUGAAUUGCAGAAUUCAGUGAAUCAUCGAAUCUUUGAACGCACAUUGCGCCCGCCAGUAUUCUGGCGGGCAUGCCUGUCCGAGCGUCAUUUCAACCCUCGAACCCCUCCGGGGGGUCGGCGUUGGGGAUCGGGAACCCCUAAGACGGGAUCCCGGCCCCGAAAUACAGUGGCGGUCUCGCCGCAGCCUCUCCUGCGCAGUAGUUUGCACAACUCGCACCGGGAGCGCGGCGCGUCCACGUCCGUAAAACACCCAACUUCUGAAAUGUUGACCUCGGAUCAGGUAGGAAUACCCGCUGAACUUAAGCAUAUCAAUAAGCGGAGGAAAGAAACCAACAGGGAUUGCCCCAGUAACGGCGAGUGAAGCGGCAACAGCUCAAAUUUGAAAUCUGGCCCCUAGGGUCCGAGUUGUAAUUUGUAGAGGAUGCUUUUGGUGAGGUGCCGCCCGAGUUCCCUGGAACGGGACGCCACAGAGGGUGAGAGCCCCGUCUGGCUGGCCACCGAGCCUCUGUAAAGCU